CAGUGCAGAAUAGCAUUGAGCCUCAAUUAGAGGCCCACGGUGAAAGCACCAAAAGCAAAAGGUCGUCGCCUUUCACCUUGCUUCACGCUCAGUAAUAUACUGAGGGAAGACGCACAAAUUGGGACGAAUCUAACCGUGUCGGCCUCCGUCGGCGGCGGCGGUUCAAAAUUGAUGAAGCAACUCGCGCCAGUAUUCUGCUUCUAUUCUCCCUAACCGAAACGGAACAACACUCAUCCACCUAAGUAGAACGAAAUCGCUAACACUAGAAUCUUCGACGGAAUGAAUUGAGCGAUCGAACGAAAGUGGAGUGGGAUUCCACUAUGAUCCACAGUAAUAAAUUCGCACUAAUGCAAAUGAAAUCGACCUACACGAAGAGGUGAAGGACCUACUGGCAAGGGCGAAGGAUGAUCGUCCGAUGAACGUCGGAUUCGAAUCUCCAGCCUUCACUCCUUGCAUUGAUGAUUCUUCAAUCGUCUUCCUUCGGUUCUUGUUACGAGUUGCUUUUGGUACGGUGAUUUCACUGUGAGUUGUGACAAGUUAUGAUUCGGCAUCGUGAAUGAUCUGCAGUUCGAUUUGUAAUAGUCGUGUCGGGAAUCAUUGAUGACGGUGAUUUUCUACUGCUCCGAAGAAUGAAGGAUUAUUGAAUUAUGGAUCGAGAUUCUUCGAUGGAUGAAGAGUGACCGGACGCAGAUCUCUAAUUCGCCUGAUAAGCUAAAUAUUGAGAAGAGUUCGUAAGGCUUGGGUUUGAAGAAGGUUGAAGGCGAUGGCAAUGGAGGUUCGGAAGAGAACCAGGUUACGGUUAGCAAAAAAAGAGAAAGGGAAGAAUAAUAAUUCUGGAAGAGAAACCAAUUGGAGAGAGCCAAAAUUCACUGCUUAAUCAUGUAUUUAUAUAGUCUUUUGGAAGGAAUUGAUGAAUGCGUUUUGGAAUUUCUGUUGCCGUUUUCAAAUUUCCAAUUUUGUUUAGGAUGUCGUUUUGGUUUGUGCGUUACGAAAUUGGUAUUUGCGUUU